rnacentral:rRNA from 1 species
UACGAAGGGAGCUAGCGUUGUUCGGAAUUACUGGGCGUAAAGGGCGCGUAGGCGGUUCGACAAGUUGGAUGUGAAAGCCCAGGGCUCAACCCUGGAAUUGCAUUCAAGACUGUCUUACUUGAAUUCGGUAGAGGUGAGUGGAAUUCCCAGUGUAGAGGUGAAAUUCGUAGAGAUUGGGAAGAACACCGGUGGCGAAGGCGGCUCACUGGACCGACAUUGACGCUGAGGCGCGAAAGCGUGGGGAGCAAACAGG